rnacentral:rRNA from 1 species
GACGAACGCUGGCGGCGUGCCUAAUACAUGCAAGUAGAACGCACAGUUUAUACCGUAGCUUGCUACACCAUAGACUGUGAGUUGCGAACGGGUGAGUAACGCGUAGGUAACCUGCCUGGUAGCGGGGGAUAACUAUUGGAAACGAUAGCUAAUACCGCAUAAUAUUGAUUAUUGCAUGAUAAUUGAUUGAAAGAUGCUAUUGCAUCACUACCAGCUGGACCUGCGUUGGAUUAGCUAGUAGGUGAGGUAACGGCUCACCUAGGCGACGAUACAUAGCCGACCUGAGAGGGUGAUCGGCCACACUGGGACUGAGACACGGCCCAGACUCCUACGGGAGGCAGCAGUAGGGAAUCUUCGGCAAUGGACGAAAGUCUGACCGAGCAACGCCGCGUGAGUGAAGAAGGUUUUCGGAUCGUAAAGCUCUGUUGUAAGAGAAGAACGGGUGUGAGAGUGGAAAGUUCACACUGUGACGGUAUCUUACCAGAAAGGGACGGCUAACUACGUG